CUCUUUUUCUCCACGUGAGAUAAAUGCUGAAUUCCAGCGCAUCACUACGGUCCCGCUAACAUCCACAUUUAUGGCACAGCUGGACAACAACACAACCAAACUGACCAAAGUCUUCAGAAACAAGGGAGGAACAUCUGGACGCAAGAUCACAGAAAUCAUGGCUGCAAUUGAUGAGAACGACACAGUUGCAAUGAGAAGAGUGUGU